CGUCGACAUUAUCCUACUCUAUAUAAAUUAUCACCAAGCAACAACUCCAAACCCUCAAAUCUUCAAAAACACUCAAAAAAGCCUAAGAGGAGGAGGAGGAGGAGGCUUGCUUGAUUUGGUUCGCUGGAGAAGAGAUCUGGAGAGAAUUAUGAAUAAAAAUCACUACUAAUUUGCGAUUUGAAGAGCACUGUGAAGAAAAC